rnacentral:rRNA from 1 species
UACAGAGGUCUCAAGCGUUGUUCGGAUUCAUUGGGCGUAAAGGGUGCGUAGGCGGCGCGGUAAGUCGGGUGUGAAAUCUCGGAGCUUAGCUCCGAAACUGCAUUCGAUACUGCCGUGCUUGAGGACUGGAGAGGAGACUGGAAUUUACGGUGUAGCGGUGAAAUGCGUAGAUAUCGAGAGGAACACCUGCGGCGAAGGCGGGUUGCUGGGCUGACACUGACGCUGAAGCGCGAAAGCUAGGGGAGCGAACGGG